rnacentral:lncRNA from 1 species
UUGGAGUGGCUCCCCUCUUGAGGGCCAUCUUGUGCCUGUGACUGCUCUUGGGGAUGCUGCAACUUUUUGGAAUGGCACUGUGGCUGCUCUUGGGGAUGCUGAGACUUUUUGGAAUGGCCCCUUUCUUGGGGAUGCUCCUGGGAGUGUGGCCUCUCUUUGGAAUGGCAUUGCUCUUGGGAAUGUGGCUGCUCUUGGGAGCCCUCCUGGGGCUACAGCUGCUCUUAGGGAUUCUGGGAUUUUUUGGAAUGGCACCACUCUUGGGGAUAUUCAUGAGAGUGGUGCCGCUCUUGAGGGCCCUCUUGUGGCUGUGGCUGGUCUUGGGGAAGCUGCAGCUUUUUGGAAAGGCGCUGCUCUUGUGGGCGUUCUUAGAGAAGUUGCUGUUCUCUUAUACACUUCAACUUUUUGGAAUGGGGCCCCUCUUGGGGAUGCUCUUGGGAGUGUGGCUGCUCUUUGGAAUGUGCCGCUCUUGGGGGCACUCUUGGGAAUGUUUCCACUCUUUGAAAUGGUGCUGCUCUUUGGGUCCCUCUUGGGGCUGUGGAUGCCUCGGGGGAUGCUGCGACUUUAUGGUGUGACUUCAUGAAAAGGCGCCGCUCUUGGGGAUGCUCUUGGGAGUGUGGCCUCUCUUUCGAAUGGUGCCGCUCUUGGGGGCUCUCUUGGGGCUGAGGCUGCUCUUGCGGUGCUACGACUUUUGGGAAUGGUGCCUUGGCUGCUCUUGGGGAUGCUGAGACUUCUUGGAAUGGCGCAGCUCCUUGGAAUGGUACCUGUCCUAGGGGCCCUCUUGGGGCUGUGGCUGCUCUUGGGAAAGCUGUAGCUUUUUGGAAUGGCAACCCAUUUGGGGGUGCUCUUGGGAGUGUGGCCGAUCUUGGGAAUAGUUAUUCUUCGGGGAGCUCUUGGGAGUGUGGCGCCUCUGGAAUGGAGCCGCUCUUGUGAAUGUGGCCGCUCUUUGGAAUGGCUCCGCUCUUCGGAGCCCUAUUGAGGUUGUGGCUGCUCUUGGGAAAGCUGUAGCUUUUUGGAAUGGCAACCCGUUCGGGGGUGCUCUUGAGAGUGUGGCCGAUCUUUGGAAUAGCUAUUCUUCGGGGAGCUAUUGGGAGUGUGGCCCCUCGGAAGGAGCCGCUCUUGUGAAUGUGGCCUCUCUUUGGAAUGGCUCUGCUCUUCGGGGCCCUAUUGGGGCUGUGGCUGCUCUUGGGGAUGCUGUACUCUUUCGGAAUGGCGCCCCUCUUAAGAUUAUGGCUGCACAUGGGGGUGUUCUUGGGGUUGAGGCUGCUAUAGAUUUUGCGAAUUGAGCUACUCUUGGGGAUGCUCUUUGGAGUAUGGCCUCUCUUUGGAAUGCACCGCUCUUUGGAAUGGCACCAUUCUUUGGGUCCCACUUGGGGUUGUGGCUUCCACUGGGGAUUCUGUGACAUUUGGGAAUGGCGCCAUGGCUGCUCUUGGGGAUGAAGCGACUUUUUAGAAUGGUGCCGCUCUUGGGCAUGUGGCUGCUCUUUGCAAUUGCGCCGGUUUUCUAUGCCCUCAUGGGGCUGUGGCUGCUCUUGUGGAAGCUGCAUCUUUUUGGAAUGGCACCACUCUUGGGGG